rnacentral:ncRNA from 1 species
UUGACAAAGGGAGCCAGACGGCUGAGAGGUGCAGGUGAGCACGACCUUUAUUACCUGAUCCGGAUCAUACCGGCGUAGGGAUGUCGAUAGCUU